AUCAACUUUCGAUGGUAGGAUAGAGGCCUACCAUGGUGGUAACGGGUGACGGAGAAUUAGGGCACGACACCGGAGAGGGAGCCUGAGAAACGGCUACCACAUCCAAGGAUGGCAGCAGGCGCGCAAAUUACCCAAUCCCGACACGGGGAGGUAGUGACAAUAAAUAACAAUACGGGGUUCUUUCAGAUCUCGUAAUUGGAAUGAGUACAAUUUAAAUCUCUUAACGAGGAACAAUUGGAGGGCAAGUCUGGUGCCAGCAGCCGCGGUAAUUCCAGCUCCAAUAGCGUAUAUUAAAGUUGUUGCAGUUAAAAAGCUCGUAGUUGAAUUUCAGGAUCAAUAUGUUGGUCGUGCCAUUGGUACGUACUGGCAUUAUUGGUUUCUACCUUCUGAAGAACCUCGAUGUCAUUAAUUUGGUGUCUUGGGGAAUCAGAACUGUUACUUUGAAAAAAUUAGAGUGUUUAAAGCAGGCUCGCGCUUGAAUACAUUAGCAUGGAAUAAUGAAAUAGGACGUUUGAUUCUAUUUUGUUGGUUUCUAGGAUCGAUGUAAUGAUUAAUAGGGAUAGUUGGGGGCAUUAGUAUUCAAUUGUCAGAGGUGAAAUUCUUGGAUUUAUUGAAAACUAACUACUGCGAAAGCAUUUGCUAAGGAUGUUUUCAUUAAUCAAGAACGAAAGUUAGGGGAUCGAAGACGAUCAGAUACCGUCGUAGCCUUAACCAUAAACUAUGCCGACUAGGGAUCAGAUGAUGUUAAUUUUUUAAUGACUCAUUCGGCGCCUUACGGGAAACCAAAGUGUUUGGGUUC
rnacentral:rRNA from 1 species